UUUGGAUCACAGGUGAAGACCCCUCAUGGCUUGGUGCUGUCAUUAUGAUAGUGAGAGAGUUCUUGGGAGAUCUGGCUAUUUAAACGUAUGUGGCAUCUUCCUCCUUUCUCCCUUUCUCCUGCUCUCACCGUGUGAUGUGCCGCUCCUGCUUUGCUUUUUGCCAUGAGUAAAAGCUUCCUAAGUCCUCUAUGGAAGUGGAGCACAUGUUGAUGCCAUGCUUCCUGUACAGUCUGCAGAACUAUGCUGCCUAAGAAUCCAUUUUGACUUCACGGGGAUGAAACAUUGGCUUGCCUCUGCAUCAGUCCAUCAGUGAACCACUUGGAAGAUCAAAGACCCAACUUUAAUUUUUUGAGGUCAAGGUUCUUAUUGCCCACCUUGGUACCAGCAAGCCAGAACAAAACCACAUGCAACACAGGCUCCUGUCUCACCACUGCCUGCUACUGGAGCUGAGGUGAAGAGUGAAGAAAACAAGCAGGAUGUAGAAAACGUGAAAUGAUUCAAAACUUACACUAACUCAGUUCAAGCAGGCACUCAAAGUCAUAGAAGAUCAUGAGAUGCUAGGUAUGUUGAGAAUCUUUUACAAUCUUACAUAGGGCAUAGAUCUUGAUACAGCAUAGCCUGAGAUUUAAGACCAGUUACUGAGCAAGAAGAUCUAGUUAACAGUUUAAUCAAAUAUAAUUUGUGCAGAGGAUCUCCAAUCAUGCAAUACAAACAUAUAAGUUAAAAAAUAUAUUAGCUUUGAUUGUGGCCAAAAUUUACAGUUUAAUUUUAUUUGACAUGAACCCAAAUAAGUUUUUACCUAGUCUGAAUGCUUCCAAUGUUUUGAUUUUUGUAUAAUUAAUCAUUUUUUUCAGGUUGUUAUAAAUUACUUUUGUUUUUGGUCUAUAGAAUUGGCUUACAGGAUCUUUCAACAAGCCACAUUCAAAAGCUCUUAAGAUGUAGUUAAUAGUACCUACAUU
rnacentral:lncRNA from 1 species